GGGGGUGUAGCUUAGAGGUAGAGCUCUCGCCUAGUACGUGUGAGGCCCCGAGUUCCACCCCCA
rnacentral:tRNA from 1 species